GGACGAACGCUGGCGGCGUGCUUAACACAUGCAAGUCGAACGGGACUGAUUGAAAGCUUGCUUUGAAAAGUCUAGUGGCAAACGGGUGAGUAACGCGUAGGCAACCUGCCUCUAAGAUGGGGACAACAGUCCGAAAGGACUGCUAAUACCGAAUGUUGUGAGUUUUCCGCAUGGAGAGCUCAUUAAAGAUGGCCUCUACUUGUAAAGCUAUCACUUAGAGAUGGGCCUGCGUCUGAUUAGCUAGUUGGUGGGGUAACGGCCCACCAAGGCGACGAUCAGCAGCCGGUCUGAGAGGAUGAACGGCCACAUUGGGACUGAGACACGGCCCAGACUCCUACGGGAGGCAGCAGUGGGGAAUCUUCCGCAAUGGGCGAAAGCCUGACGGAGCAACGCCGCGUGAGUGAAGAAGGUCUUCGGAUCGUAAAGCUCUGUCGAAGGGGACGAACGUGGGUUCUAUCAACAACGGAACCUAAUGACGGUACCUUUCAAGAAAGCCACGGCUAACUACGUGCCAGCCGCCGC
rnacentral:rRNA from 1 species